rnacentral:rRNA from 1 species
UACGGGGGGGGCAAGCGUUGUUCGGAAUUACUGGGCGUAAAGGGCUCGUAGGUGGCCAACUAAGUCAGACGUGAAAUCCCUCAGCUUAACUGGGGAACUGCGUCCGAUACUGGAUGGCUUGGAUUUGGGAGAGGGAUGCGGAAUUCCAGGUGUAGCGGUGAAAUUCGUAGAUAUUCGGAAGAACACCAGUGGCGAAGGCGACACACUGGCCCAUUACUGACGCUGAGGCUCGAAAGCGUGGGGAGCAAACAGG